rnacentral:sRNA from 1 species
UUGUUGACGGCGUAGGCAUAGGCAGAUA